GACGAACCGUACGAACGUUAUUCGGAAUUACUGGGCUUAAAGGGUGCGUAGGCUGCGCGGAAAGUUGGGUGUGAAAGCCCUCAGCUCAACUGAGGAAUUGCACUCAAAACUUCCGUGCUCGAGGGAGACAGAGGUGAGCGGAACUCAAGGUGGAGCGGUGAAAUGCGUUGAUAUCUUGAGGAACACCGGUGGCGAAGGCGGCUCACUGGGUCUUUUCUGACGCUGAGGCACGAAAGCCAAGGUAGCAAACGGG
rnacentral:rRNA from 1 species